AGUGAACGCUGGCGGUAGGCCUAACACAUGCAAGUCGAACGGCAGCACAGUAAGAGCUUGCUCUUACGGGUGGCGAGUGGCGGACGGGUGAGGAAUACAUCGGAAUCUACUUUUUCGUGGGGGAUAACGUAGGGAAACUUACGCUAAUACCGCAUACGACCUACGGGUGAAAGCAGGGGAUCUUCGGACCUUGCGCGAUUGAAUGAGCCGAUGUCGGAUUAGCUAGUUGGCGGGGUAAAGGCCCACCAAGGCGACGAUCCGUAGCUGGUCUGAGAGGAUGAUCAGCCAGACUGGAACUGAGACACGGUCAAGACUCCUAAGGGAGGCAGCAGUGGGGAAUAUUGGACAAUGGGCGCAAGCCUGAUCCAGCCAUACCGCGUGGGUGAAGAAGGCCUUAGGGUUGUAAAGCCAUUUUGUUGGGAAAGAAAAGCAGCAGGUUAAUACCCCGCUGUUCUGACGGUACCCAAAGAAUAAGCACCGGCUAACUUCGUG
rnacentral:rRNA from 1 species